rfam:Myotis brandtii contig159492, whole genome shotgun sequence.
GGCAGUUCUUGGGUGAUGCAACCCGGAAUUGGGCUCCCUCCUCUGUGGUUCCAGGUGCAUCACCCAAGAACUGCU